CCUACGUGAGGCAGCAGUGAGGAAUAUUGGUCAAUGGGCGCGAGCCUGAACCAGCCAAGUAGCGUGAAGGAUGACUGCCCUACGGGUUGUAAAAUUCUUUUAUAAAGGAAUAAUGUGAGGCAAGUGUGCAUUUUUGGAUUUACUUUAUGAAUAAGGAUCGGCUAACUUCGGUACAGCAGCAGCGGUAAUACGGAGGAUAUGAGCGUUAUCCGGAUUUAUUGGGUUUAAAGGGAGCGUAGAUGGGUUGUUAAGUCAGUUGUGAAAGUUUGCGGCUUAACCGUAAAAUUGCAAUUGAUACUGGCAGUCUUGAGUGCAGUUGAGGUAGGCGGAAUUCGUGGUGUAGCGGUGAAAUGCUUAGAUAUAACGAAGAACUCCGAUUGCGAAGGCAGCUUAC
rnacentral:rRNA from 1 species